rnacentral:rRNA from 1 species
AUCUGGCCUUAGGGUGGGGGAUAAGCUCGGGAAACUGAGUAUAAUACCCCAUAGUCCAGGUAUGCUGGAAUGCUUCCUGGAUUAAAGCUCCGGCGCCCUAGGAUGAGUCUGCGGCCUAUCAGGCUGUAGUGGGUGUAACGGCCCACUAAGCCUACGACGGGUACGGGUCUUGAGAGAGAUUGCCCGGAGAUGGAUUCUGAGACACGAAUCCAGGCCCUACGGGGCGCAGCAGGCGCGAAAACUUCGCAAUGUGGGCCAACCACGACGAGGGAAUUCCAAGUGUUAGUACUUUGUAUCAACUGUUUUCUUCUCUAAAAAACAAGGAGAGUAAGGGCUGGUAAGACAGGUGCCAGCCGCCGCGGUAAUACCUGCAGCUCAAGUGGUGGCCGCUAUUAUUGGGCCUAAAACGUCCGUAGCCGGUUUCAUAAAUGCCUGGGUAAAUCAUACGGCUUAACCGUAUGAAUUCCGGGUAGACUGUUUAACUUGAGACCGGGAGAGGCUAGAGGUACUCCUGGGGUAGAGGUGAAAUUCUGUAAUCCUAGGGGGACCACCAGUGGCGAAGGCGUCUAGCUAGAACGGGUCUGACGGUGAGGGACGAAGCCCUGGGGAGCAAACGGGAUUAGAUACCCCGGUAGUCCAGGGUGUAAACGCUGCUCGCUUGAUGUUAGUCGGGCUCCGAGCCCAACUAGUGUCGGAGAGAAGUUGUUAAGCGAGCUGCCUGGGAGUACGGUCGCAAGACUGAA